GUGAGUUGGAAGCAGAAGUUACAGUCUAUGAAUUUGAACAUGGUUAUUUUUCUAUAGACCCAUCCCUCAUCUUUUUACUGAUAUAGUUGCGGGGAGUACGCUUUGUUUUAAUUGCUGAUUGGCGCUUUAAGGCUAAAUUCAAAGUUAAACCCUUUGUAGGAGCAUAGUUAUAUCUCUGAGUUGUUUCCCCAAAGCCAUCGUUACUAAAGUUGUACUUGAAAACACUGGUAAGUAAACGACUGCCUCAGACCACUCAUAGAACAGGUAAGUGCUUUGUGCCCUCCUGUGUCACUUGCACACAUUAGAUCUCAGCUAAACAUCGAAUCAAAAAGUUUAUCGUCUCUCUGUGACCUCAAAUAAAUACCAAGAUUGCAAUUUUAUAAACAAGCGAAGCAAGGACGAGGGCAAAAGAUCUAAUGACGCACUUAACUGUUCUAUGAGUAGUCUGAGGCAGUUGUUAAAUUAAGAGCGUUUUCAAGUGCAACGUCACUGGCAAUGGUUUUACUGAAAAAUAUUUAAGAUUCAAAGAUGGUCCUCCAAUGGUUCUAACAAUGGAAUGAAGCCUUGUUUUGGGGAAACCUGGCCCAGGGCAGACAGUGUCUUGGGACAUAUUUGCAGUGAUGCACUACCAAAUGUUCCACUUGUUUUGUUAGUUACUCAAUGUCAGAUAGCUGAAACUGUGGGGAGAAACUCAGUGAAGGCCAUGGAGCUUUCUGAAAGUGAGAUAGAGAUGACACUGCCACCUAGUAACAAACGAUUUAGGUCAUUGAAUUCAAAUAUGAGCAACUUGAAGUGUUUUGAGCCUUCGUGCGAGGGGAGGAUGAGGCGGUUGUGCCAACAGGCUUUGGGAAAAGCCUAAUUUACCAGCUAGCUAGUUCUCGUCUUCAAGAAACUACAAAAACAGCCUCCAAUUCUGCCAGUCGUGUCCCAGCUAAAGUCUGUGGUGGACGGAGGACCAAAUCCACAAGGCAACAGCCCCGGGUCUUAGAGCGGUGGUUGUGUAGAAAGACAAGAACACUAUAUGGGAGGAUUCAUGCAACUUUGUCUUUGGAAGUCCAGAGAGCUGGAUGGAGAAGACCGGGAAAGAUGUGUUGGCCCCAAUCCUAUACAGCUCCAAUAUUGUCGGAAUCGUUGUGGAUGAAGUCCAUAUGAUAUACAAAUGGUAGGCCAGUUGAGAACAAGUUCGGACUGAAGGAGGAAGUCAUAUUUGAACUAUUAAAACCAAUGUCCGUGGUUAAAGUCACAUUAAAACAUGAAUAAAGCAGAAAAUAGCCCAUUUUAAUAAUAUGGCCCCCAAAAUGAAUUUAUAAAUAUCCAAAUGGCCCUUGAUGGCAAAAAGGUUCCCCACCCCUGUUUUAGGGAAUAGUACCUGUAAUCCAGUACAGAAGUUGGGACGGAAGUGCCCAUGCACUAAACCGCCUCAAAAGAAGAAUUAGCCUCGGAUGAAGACAUAAGACUUAAAAGAGCUAGUGUAGCCUGAACAGUACACUUAAGCUAGAAGACAAUUCGAGCACAGCCUUUGCGAAGGAGCAGCAUAAAGAAGGAACCCCAACUCAACCAGAAAGGACACACAGCCAUCUUCUUCCUUUGUUCUACUCCAUGCAUCCUGAACAAUCAAGAAGCCAAGACAGACUUUGAUCAUCAGACUGAGUCUCCUGAGUAUAACAUCAUUUAAAGUUCAGGAUUUCGAGGUCUUCACUUCUUAUCUUUCAUUAUAUUUCCUAUUUUAUGAUCAUUCUCAUUAUGUUAGUAAAUAUUUUGAUGAGUUAUUAAAUGUUGAUUGUAUAAAUCAAAUAAUUCAUACCUUCAGAUUAAUCAAUGUGUUACUAUUAUCAUAGGUG
ensembl:lncRNA